CCGUUGCAUCCUAAAUAAACCCUCCUAUGGUGACGGAGCCAGUCAGAGAGGCUGGGAGUGGAGACGAGAUUUGUCCACGUCGGCACAGCUGCUGUAACAUGGAUCCCGCUGCACUGGAACCGUCCUCUCACUGUCAAGGCUCUCAUCAUCUUGGACAACGAUGGAGAACGCCUCUCGCCAAGUAUUACGAUGGGACCUACCCCUCCACAAAGGAACAAAAGAAUUUCGAAAAGAAUAUUUUCAGCAAGACUCACAAGAACGACAGUGAGAUCGCGUUCCUGGAGGGACUGACUGUCAUCUACAAGAAUUGUGUCGACCUGUACUUCUACAUUGUAGGGAGUCCACAUGAGAAUGAGCUCAUGCUCAUGUCCGUUCUCAACUGCCUGUUUGAGUCUGUGAGUCAGAUGUUACGGAAGAAUGUGGAGAAGAAGUCUCUGAUGGAUAACAUGGACGGGUUGUUGUUGAUCACGGAUGAGAUUGUAGAUGGAGGGGUGAUUUUGGAAAGUGAUCCACACCAGGUGAUUCAGAAAGUAAACUUCCGGACUGUGUCAGAAGCAGCUUACGGCUUCGUCCUCUUUGACUAUCUGACAAGCGGCAGCAGCCCUGACAGUCGACCUCUCAACUGAGGAAGGGGAGUGCGCAGGUUGAUGACACACCUUUAACUGAACAGAGUAUGGCUCAGGUCCUCCAGUCAGCCAAGGAGCAGAUCAAGUGGUCGCUGUUGAAAUAAAUCGGGAAUCUCCCUCUCUC